AUCCUUUUGUAGUUCAUGAGCGUGAUGAUUGGGUGUUCACACACAUAAAUGAAAUGUGCCAGCCUCAAACCUUCUUGUGAUAUUGGCACAUGACUCUCUUUGGGACC
ensembl:snoRNA